UACGGAGGGGGCUAGCGUUGUCCGAAUUUACUGGGCGUAAAGCGCGCGUAGGCGGGUUGGUAAGUCCGCUGUGAAAGCCCGGAGCUUAACUCCGGAGGGUCGGUGGAUACUGCCAGUCUUGAAGGUGCUAGGGGGAGAUGGAAUUACCGGUGUAGCGGUGAAAUGCGUAGAUAUCGGUAGGAACACCAGUGGCGAAGGCGGUCUCCUGGGGCAUUCUUGACGCUGAGGCGCGAAAGCUGGGGGAGCAAACGGG
rnacentral:rRNA from 1 species